rnacentral:lncRNA from 1 species
GUAGGUUUGUUUUUACCGAUGGAUUAACUAUCGCUAAGGUGAAGAAUCGCAUUAAAAUAAUGCGAAGAUUUUAAGAUCUUCCCAGCUAUAUUAUAGUGCACAUUGGGAAAUGAUAUAUAUAAAAUAUCAAACUAGGUUACUUUCAUCAUUAGCUUGUUCAAUUUAUGUCAAGGUUAUAUAUUGAUUUGCCUGAUACAACUUGAUUUGGUCUCAAGUUCUAUUGCCAAGACUGCAAUGACGGUCUUCAAAUAAUGGGAAUUGUAAUGUAUGGACAAGUGCAGGCGUCGGUUAAACAGCUUCAUUGUUGUCCACAUGACAAAGCAUGGAUGUUACAUUCGAUAUCCUUACAUAAAAGCUAAACACGAGUCUCUAGCAGAAGAUGGGGUGUAUUUAACAAAGAGAAGAACAUUUUUUUCUGAACUUAAUACAGGGAGCCCUAGAAACAAUAAUUUCUAGUAAGACGGGUAGCAUUACUUUUCCAGACGACUAUUCCAUGCUUUGAAUUUUUAUAGUUGACUCGUUGUCCGUAACAAAUGCCUAUAUAUGAUCUUAGUGAACAGUUAAACGAAACAUCGGCGUUAUUGGGCUGUUUUAUAAAUAAUACAAAUAGUUGCUUGUUAAUUUACAAUUUAUACCAUAUAAUGGCAUAUUCAUUUAUCAGAAAAUUAUUUUAAUCAAAUUUUGCUUGAAAUGGCACAGCUAUGCGCAGCUCCCCCCAAUUUUAUUGGCGGUUGACGGUUCUGUGAAAAUUUUAACUGUAGGCUAAAAUUGUCGCAGCACCGCCAAUUUGGCAGAUUUCGCUGCGCUUAGAUAACAUAUUUGCAGUUUACAGACUUAUUGUAAUCGUAUGAUAGCAUUAGCCUCUGAUUUCCAGGGCUUAAUAGCUUAUCUUGAACUUCCCCUUUUCAUAUAUGGUCUGCCACCUCAAACAUAUUCGGCGAUCAUCAUAUAACAUUUUCAAAGACACAUAUGCAUUUUUAUCAGUUAAUUUUAGUUCAUAGAUCUACAUGUAUCACAAAUUGCAUUUCAUAUAAUAGUACAUAUAUCAUAUCACAAAUUGCAUUUCAUAUAAUAGUACAUAUAUCAUAUCACAAAAUGCAUUUCAUAUAAUAGUACAUAUAUCAUAUCUGUUAAUAAAUGCUGUGGCCAUUUCCUGCCAAUAACAAUCUUGUUAUUUUUUAUGAGCAUCUAAGAUAAUAGGAUUUAAAAUCUAAAUUUUAAAUCAGUUAUCGGUAGUGCUCAUACCACUGUCCGUCGUUAUACUACUUCGUCAAGUAAUAGUAUUUGGUUUCUUGUUGGAUUAUCGAUCUUUGCAAGUGAUUGAUUUACCCAUAAUCCUCCUUUUGACGUCGACAUUUAGGAAAAGCAGACGCAUUUUUAGCCAUAGAUUUAUCUUCUAAAACCCGCCCACCCUCCCUUAAAUUAGUAGAAUGCAAUUCCUACGGAAGAUACUGCUGUUUGGUUUUGUUUGUUUAUUUCAGAAUUGUAUUGUCUACAUCGAUUAAACCAUCACUCAAUGUGGAAAGAUGUACAAAAGUUUUAAUGACGAGACGGUCAUUCAAGAAAAAAAGACGAAUCCUGGACGAGGAGUGGACUUACAUG